GACGAACGCUGGCGGCGUGCUUAACACAUGCAAGUCGAACGGAAAGGCCCCUUUGGGGGUACUCGAGUGGCGAACGGGUGAGUAACACGUGAGUAACCUGCCCUUGACUUCGGGAUAACUUCAGGAAACUGGGGCUAAUACCGGUUAGGAAUCCUUGCUGCAUGGUGGGGGUUGGAAAGCUUCGGCGGUUUUGGGUGGACUCGCGGGUUAUCAGCUUGUUGGUGGGGUAGUGGCUUACCAAGGCGUUGACGGGUAGCCGGCCUGAGAGGGCGACCGGCCACAUUGGGUCCGAGGUACGGCCCAGACGCCUACGGGUGGCAGCAGUGGGGAAGAUUGCACAAGGGGCGGAAGCCUGAUGAAGCAACGCCGCGGGCGGGAUGACGGUCUUCGGGUUGUAAACCGCCUUCAGCAGGAGCGAAGCUUGUGGUGACGGUACCUGCAGAAGAAGCACCGGCUAACUACGUG
rnacentral:rRNA from 1 species